GGUCCUGAAGCUUCUUCUCCAAAUCUGGAAGAGUAGAGAGAUGCAAUGAUGCUCAUAUUUGUUGUGUUAACCUAGUCUGUUAGUGUCUGUGGGCAAGGACUUCAGUUUAAUUCAUGACUGUCACAAUUUUCACCGCUCACUAUGGAGGUGGAAGAGCUCUAGCUGCUUUGCUGUAGUGGAAAAAUAGAAGUGUGUGUAGUAUCAUGGCGUGGAGAGCAAAGCAAGAAGACAUUUCAAAUGCACCCAUGCUCACAUGCAGAAAUACUCCCUCAAAUCCAACAACAACUGUUAAAAUUGUCGUUCAACAGUUGGCAAAGCAAAACCUCAGUAAGGGACUUUGUGUGGGAGCACAUGAGCUGCUGUAUUAAAGGUGAGGCUGGAUGCUGCAGGCUGCCUGGUGGUGCACUGCUAGUAAGGAAGAGGCAUGGGUGAACAUAUUUUCUCCCUCCCCAAUUCUUGUUGGUUCUGUCUCACCCAUAUUUAAACCUCCCAGUGAACCAGAUGUAACGCUCCACUAGGUCCAAUGUGGAAGUAAGUAGCUGGUUUGGCCUCUGUGACUCAGCAGGCAGAGGAGCCAAGCGCUGGCGGGAGCUGCCUCCUUGCAGCACGUCGGCUCCUGCAGCCGGAGUGGCCAUGGCUCGUUCCUGCUGAAGAGGCCCUGUGGAAAUGGCAAGCUGAAAUCUGCCGUCAGCUGAACUUUCCCUCCAGUGUUACUAAGAUACUGCCUGAGGUAUGGAGCAGUCCUACCGUGCACAGUGCCACCCCAGCUGGAGUGGCACAUCAGUAGGAGAAUACCCUA